rnacentral:rRNA from 1 species
UACGUAGGGGGCAAGCGUUGUCCGGAAUCAUUGGGCGUAAAGAGCGUGUAGGCGGCCCGAUAAGUCCGCUGUGAAAGUCCAGGGCUCAACCCUGGGAUGCUGGUGGAUACUGUCGGGCUCGAGUCCGGAAGAGGAGUGUGGAAUUCCUGGUGUAGCGGUGAAAUGCGCAGAUAUCAGGAGGAACACCGGUGGUGUGGACGGCUUUCUGGACCGUAACUGACGCUGAGACACGAAAGCGUGGGUAGCAAACAGG